CCGGGUCCCGCGUCCUCUCGGCAGCCGCCGACGGAGCCCGGCCCGGCCGAAGGAGGAGGGGAGAAGAGGAGCGUUGACAGAUGCUGUCUUGGAGCGGCGACCGCCGGGGGAAAAGCGUGGACUGCCUCAGUGAGACGCGGCUGGUCGGCAACCGGCCCCAGCCUCGCGUUCGCCUUAAAGAUCCUAUUGGCUAGGACACCUUCCCUCCGCAGCCGCCCGCGCAGCUCCGCUCCCGCGCCCUGCGCCCGGCUCCGCGGACUAGCGCGCCCGGUCAAGAAUCCUGGGGAACCCGCUCCGCCCCCUGUUCCAGCGCCCUCCAAUAAUGUCGGCGUACAGAGGGCAGUUCCGUCCAAUCAGGCGUCUGAAAGGCCAAGCAGUCCCCAGGAGUGUAGCCAAUAAAAGGCGACUCCGGCAACACACCCGCCCUGAUCCACUGGGAACAAACCGCCCUGAGCCCUGCGGUGGGACCGAUCCUGGCUCCCAGAUCAAGUCAAGUCCGGCCGCAGCUGUGUCACAAAACAGGGUCUCAUUGUGUUGCCCAUGUGAGAGUACAGUGGCAUGA
rnacentral:lncRNA from 13 species